UAGGAGUACGGUCUAGGCAAAGGCAUGGU
rnacentral:piRNA from 1 species